rnacentral:rRNA from 1 species
AGAGUUUGAUCAUGGCUCAGGACGAACGCUGGCGGCGUGCCUGAAUACAUGCAAGUAGAACGCUGAAGACUGGUGCUUGCACUAGUCAGAUGAGUUGCGAACGGGUGAGUAACGCGUAGGUAACCUACCUUAUAGCGGGGGAUAACUAUUGGACAACGAUAGCUAAUACCGCAUGACAAUUAAGUACUCAUGUACUAAAUUUAAAAGGAGCAAUUGCUUCACUAUGAGAUGGACCUGCGUUGUAUUAGCUAGUUGGUGAGGUAACGGCUCACCAAGGCCACGAUACAUAGCCGACCUGAGAGGGUGAUCGGCCACACUGGGACUGAGACACGGCCCAGACUCCUACGGGAGGCAGCAGUAGGGAAUCUUCGGCAAUGGGGGCAACCCUGACCGAGCAACGCCGCGUGAGUGAAGAAGGUUUUCGGAUCGUAAAGCUCUGUUGUUAGAGAAGAACGGUAAUGGGAGUGGAAAAUCCAUUACGUGACGGUAACUAACCAGAAAGGGACGGCUAACUACGUGCCAGCAGCCGCGGUAAUACGUAGGUCUCGAGCGUUGUCCGGAUUUAUUGGGCGUAAAGCGAGCGCAGGCGGUUAUUUAAGUCUGAAGUUAAAGGCCGUGGCUCAACCAUGGUUCGCUUUGGAAACUGGAUAACUUGAGUGCAGAAGGGGAGAGUGGAAUUCCAUGUGUAGCGGUGAAAUGCGUAGAUAUAUGGAGGAACACCGGUGGCGAAAGCGGCUCUCUGGUCUGUAACUGACGCUGAGGCUCGAAAGCGUGGGGAGCAAACAGGAUUAGAUACCCUGGUAGUCCACGCCGUAAACGAUGAGUGCUAGGUGUUAGGCCCUUUCCGGGGCUUAGUGCCGCAGCU